rnacentral:lncRNA from 1 species
AUACUUCUGCAUGCUUUACAGUUUCCUACUAUGCUACAAUGAUUUUUUUUUUUUUUAAUUGAAGAAAGUGCAGGAUUGAAACUAUAGAUAUGUGCCUUUUAGUGGCGCGCAUAUACAGUUAUUUAUGCUACAUUUGUAAUUUAUAGUGUUGUCAGGCACGCCGGUUCAAAGUUGCAUUUUAAAAAAGGAUUUUUUAAAUAGACAGAUAUUAACCAUGGCCCACCAGAGAUGAAAAAGCUUCUCCAUCCAGGGACAAUGACACCUGAACCAACUCGCCGUUUCAGAGGAUCUGGCCAUA